rnacentral:siRNA from 1 species
AGCCCAUUUGGGGAGACUACUCAG